AUGAUGAAUGUAUUAGCACAGGUGCAGAUGCUGCGCUUCAGCCUUCCUGCCCAGAAAGGCUAUCUGUCUGAUCUGAAGAAGGAAAGAAGGCUGAAGAUUCAAGGCUGUUCUGUCACCUCAUCCUUCCAUCACCUGCAGUCAGUAAGCCACAUUGCACAUCCAUCUGAACUGUUAGAGAUUAUCUGAUCCUUUUUCACAUCGGACAGAGGUGAUGCAAGAUUUCUCCCUCAAGCAAAAGAAAUAUCGACCACAUGGGAGAAAUCAUGGCCCUUGAAAGUAAACAAGCCAGGAUUUUGCCCAUACUGACUACGUACAUCUCACUCCUAAAUUACUUAUCUUUGCAGGAGUAUGUGGCACAAAUGACUGACA
rnacentral:lncRNA from 1 species